AAUGAACGCUGGCGGCGCGCCUAAUACAUGCAAGUCGAGCGAGAAGACGUAGCAAUACGUUUGUAAAGCGGCGAACGGGUGAGGAAUACAUGGGUAACCUACCCUCGAGUGGGGAAUAACUAGCCGAAAGGUUAGCUAAUACCGCGUACGCUCCUUGGACUUCGGUUCAGGGAGGAAAGCGAUACCGUGGGUAUCGCGCUCUUGGUUGGGCUCAUGUCCUAUCAGCUUGUUGGUGAGGAACGGCUCACCAAGGCUUCGACGGGUAGCUGGUCUGAGAGGACGAUCAGCCACACUGGCACUGCGACACGGGCCAGACUCCGUACGGGAGGCAGCAGUAAGGAAUAUUGCGCAAGUGGGACGAAAGCCUGACGCAGCGACGCCGCGGUGGGGGA
rnacentral:rRNA from 1 species